rnacentral:rRNA from 1 species
GACGAACGCUGGCGGCGUGCCUAAUACAUGCAGGUCGAACGCUUCUUUCCUCCCGAUUGCUUGCACUCAAUUGGAAAGAGGAGUAGCGGACGGGUGAGUAACACGUGGGUAACCUACCCAUCAGAGGGGGAUAACACUUGGAAACAGGUGCUAAUACCGCAUAACAGUUUAUGCCGCAUGGCAUAAGAGUGAAAGGCGCUUUCGGGUGUCGCUGAUGGAUGGACUCGCGGUGCAUUAGCUAGUUGGUAAGGUAACGGCUCACCAAGGCCACGAUGCAUAGCCGACCUGAGAGGGUGAUCGGCCACACUGGGACUGAGACACGGCCCAGACUCCUACGGGAGGCAGCAGUAGGGAAUCUUCGGCAAUGGACGAAAGUCUGACCGAGCAACGCCGCGUGAGUGAAGAAGGUUUUCGGAUCGUAAAACUCUGUUGUUAGAGAAGAACAAGGACGUUAGUAACUGAACGUCCCCUGACGGUAUCUAACCAGAAAGCCACGGCUAACUACGUG